UACGGAGGGGGCUAGCGUUGUUCGGAAUUACUGGGCGUAAAGCGCACGUAGGCGGCUUUGCAAGUUAGAGGUGAAAGCCCGGGGCUCAACUCCGGAAUUGCCUUUAAAACUGCAUCGCUAGAAUUGUGGAGAGGUAAGUGGAAUUCCGAGUGUAGAGGUGAAAUUCGUAGAGAUUGGGAAGAACACCGGUGGCGAAGGCGGCCAACUGGACUGGUAUUGACGCUGAGGCGCGAAAGCGUGGGGAGCAAACAGG
rnacentral:rRNA from 1 species